UGUUAUAGGAGUUUGAAAAACAUCAAGUUCAGAAGAUAAAAAAAUAUAGCUACAAAUCUAGGGGAAACAAAAACAUGUAGAAAUAUAGGGAUCCAAGUGUUGGCAGUGGAGUGUGAGUAAAGAAACCCCAUCUCACUAAGUCAAGGACAUUAUUGAGAAAUAUAGGCAAAAUUGUCGUGUCGUUGGAUAAGUUUGUUGAAAAUCUUUCUCGUCAUUACAACAACGUCCCAACUCAUUGGAAGGACAUAACCAGAGUGGAUGAAUAUGAGCACGCCUAAGGAAGAUGAAGAUGAAGUUGAAGGCCCGCUUCAUGGCAAGGUCUUUAAUUCGACAAAGCUUUGAAACUACGCUUUCCAUGGUUCAACCUUGCUGCGCCGCGGUUCGUCGCUUCACACAGUUGUGCACCGGUGCUGCACCUCUAGCUGUGGCACCUCACCGCAUGAUGUGAGUCGUCGCUGCAGCUCCAAAAUAUAGAGAGGAU
rnacentral:lncRNA from 1 species